GAUCCUCAGAAAGACAUAUGGGGGUUUUCCUCAGAACCUAAAUUCUCAUAGCAACAGCAGCGUAGCUGAACAUCUUACGGAUGGCCCAGGGCUCCAAAGGCUCGUUUCCUAAGUGAGAGAGAGCCUGGCUGAAGCUGUAUUACCAUUCAUUCUCCAGCCUCCGAAGUCUCAAAGCAUCACUUCCACCAUACUCUAACUGUCAAGACAAACACAAAGGCCCAGAAACUGCCAGACUGUCUUCCGAAGUGGCUAUAAUAUUUACACUCACAUCAGCAGUGUAGAAGGGGUCUCACUAUGUUGUCUGGAGUGCAGUGGCUGGAGUGGAGUGGCUAUUCACAGCUGAGUUUGCAGAGUAAACCACUACCCUGAAAUCUGGAAAGGCAGGUGCACCCAUAGAUCCUCAGCUGAGAUCCAAUUACCUGAAAUAGAAGCUGCCAUUAGGAACACUUAAAAG
rnacentral:lncRNA from 1 species